AUUUACCCUCUGGUACACUGGAAUGCGACAACCUACAAUCCACGUUAGACGAUCCACAGUUGGUCAACACUCUUAUCUCGACCGAGAUGAAACAAGGGUUUCUGUUGGGGCCAUUCUUUUCCCCACCCUUCACAUCUUGGAGAAUCAAUACCAUAGGGGUGGUCACAGGGAAGACCUCACUCAAACCCAGACUGAUAAUUGAUUUAUCUGCACCACAUUCCUCUACUGUCCCCAGCCUUAACUCUCUAAUACCUUCCGAAGAAUUUUCACUUCACUACGUCACUAUCGACCAUGCCAUAGGGGCCAUUCUUCAAGCUGGCACAGGAGCAUGGCUAAGUAAAACUGAC